GACGAACGCUGGCGGCGUGCUUAACACAUGCAAGUGGAGCGACGAACCGGGCUUCGGCCCGGGGCAAAGCCGCGAACGGGUGAGUAUCACGCGGGUAACCUGCCCCGAUGACCGGGACAACCCGAGGAAACUCGGGCUAAUACCGGAUGUGUUCUCAAUCCACCAGGGUUGAGAGAAAAGGAAGCUUCGGCCUCCGCAUUGGGAUGGGCCCGCGGCCCAUUAGCUUGUUGGUGAGGUAACGGCUCACCAAGGCCACGAUGGGUAGCUGGUCUGAGAGGACGAUCAGCCACACUGGGACUGAGACACGGCCCAGACUCCUACGGGAGGCAGCAGUGGGGAAUCUUGCGCAAUGCGCGAAAGCGUGACGCAGCAACGCCGCGUGGGGGAAGAAGGCCUUCGGGUUGUAAACCCCUUUCAGGAGGGACGAAGCCGGGUCGGUGAAUAGCCGGUCCCGGUGACGGUACCUCCACAAGAAGCCCCGGCUAACUACGUGCCAGCCGCCGCCGUAAGAC
rnacentral:rRNA from 1 species